rnacentral:rRNA from 1 species
AUCAAUCGGGCAUCAUUUGGGCGGAAUUCCGAAUUGGCCUUUAAAUAUGAGAUCUCAAGGUUCCGAUUGCAAGCCCAGCUUGCUGGGUGGAUUAGUGGCGAACGGGUGAGUAACACGUGAGUAACCUGCCCUUAACUCUGGGAUAAGCCUGGGAAACUGGGUCUAAUACCGGAUAGGAGCGUCCACCGCAUGGUGGGUGUUGGAAAGAUUUAUCGGUUUUGGAUGGACUCGCGGCCUAUCAGCUUGUUGGUGAGGUAAUGGCUCACCAAGGCGACGACGGGUAGCCGGCCUGAGAGGGUGACCGGCCACACUGGGACUGAGACACGGCCCAGACUCCUACGGGAGGCAGCAGUGGGGAAUAUUGCACAAUGGGCGAAAGCCUGAUGCAGCGACGCCGCGUGAGGGAUGACGGCCUUCGGGAAUUGCACGGCAAUUGGUAGGGAAGAAGCGAAAGUGACGGUACCUGCAGAAGAAGCACCGGCUAACUACGUGCCAGCAGCCGCGGUAAUACGUAGGGUGCGAGCGUUAUCCGGAAUUAUUGGGCGUAAAGAGCUCGUAGGCGGUUUGUCGCGUCUGUCGUGAAAGUCCGGGGCUUAACCCCGGAUCUGCGGUGGGUACGGGCAGACUAGAGUGCAGUAGGGGAGACUGGAAUUCCUGGUGUAGCGGUGGAAUGCGCAGAUAUCAGGAGGAACACCGAUGGCGAAGGCAGGUCUCUGGGCUGUAACUGACGCUGAGGAGCGAAAGCAUGGGGAGCGAACAGGAUUAGAUACAGCACGGUCCAGAUCCUUGACCAUUGACCCACUAGGUGUGGGGACCAUUCCACGGUUUCCGCGCCGCAGCAACGCAUUAAGUGCCCCGCCUGGGGAGUACGGCCGCAAGGCUAAAACUCAAAGGAAUUGACGGGGGCCCGCACAAGCGGCGGAGCAUGCGGAUUAAUUCGAUGCAACGCGAAGAACCUUACCAAGGCUUGACAUGUUCCCGAUCGCCGUAGAGAUACGAUUUCCCCUUUGGGGCGGGUUCACAGGUGGUGCAUGGUUGUCGUCAGCUCGUGUCGUGAGAUGUUGGGUUAAGUCCCGCAACGAGCGCAACCCUCGUUCCAUGUUGCCAGCACGUAAUGGUGGGGACUCAUGGGAGACUGCCGGGGUCAACUCGGAGGAAGGUGAGGACGACGUCAAAUCAUCAUGCCCCUUAUGUCUUGGGCUUCACGCAUGCUACAAUGGCCGGUACAAUGGGUUGCGAUACUGUGAGGUGGAGCUAAUCCCAAAAAGCCGGUCUCAGUUCGGAUUGGGGUCUGCAACUCGACCCCAUGAAGUCGGAGUCGCUAGUAAUCGCAGAUCAGCAACGCUGCGGUGAAUACGUUCCCGGGCCUUGUACACACCGCCCGUCAAGUCACGAAAGUCGGUAACACCCGAAGCCGGUGGCCUAACCCUUGUGGGAGGGAGCCGUCGAAGGUGGGACCAGCGAUUGGGAAGUGUAUUCCGAUUAGGCAUUCAGGCAUUCCGAAUCAGUAGCUAGCUAGGUUAGC